AGAUAAUGCAUUCCCAAUUUGAGAAGCACUGCCUCAAUAUAGAUUAUAGGCAGGAAUAUAGAAUUGGUACCCUGAGGACUACUGAAAAUGUCUGCUACUGAGAGAGUUCAUUCAUUGAGACCAGGGACAAAUGACAAUAUGUAAACUAUUUGAAUGACUUCAAAAUAGCACAGUCCCAGGAAAGACUGAUCUGAUUCUUCUGGUUCUCAACAACCAGUGCACAUUGCCCAAAGAUUGAGACCAUCCAUAAGAGGAUAAAAUAGGCAUCAAUAUACAUCUCAGGUAGGUCCACAUACACAAGAAUGAUAGUAUACUAAGUGGAUCCCUGCAGUUGGCUUAACUAGUCUCUAAACAAUUUCACCAGAAAUUUCUUCACUCUGGCACAACCAACUGCUUUGAAGCAACCAUCCCUUAUGUGACUAUAUUUGGUAACAAGAAGACUAUGUGCCAAGUGUCUAUUCCCAUUAAUUUCUUAUCAUUAACUGUCUCACUUUCAUGUAGACACUAGCCAAGCAAAAUCAAUAAUUCAACUAUGUUUUCUUGAGAGUUGAAUUGUGAAAAAAAACAAAAAGCCUUAUGGAUGUAUAGUUUCUUCUCUCACAACAAUCUUCUGAAUUACCAAUCAACGACAAGAGAGGUUUUUGUUCUUUGCUCAAGUUCACACAGGUCACUGGUGAAUAGUGGGACCUGGCCUCAGCAUGUCAUCUGGCUUCAAGUCUGGCAUUCUGAUAUAUCACUGAAAAGUAUGUUUAAUUAGAGGCUUUUUACUAUUAAUAUUUGGAAUUGUGUA
rnacentral:lncRNA from 1 species